rnacentral:tRNA from 1 species
GCCUGGGUGGCUCAGUCCGUUGAGCAUCUGACUUUAGCUCAGGUCAUGACCUCAGGGUUUAUGAGUUCAAGUCCCACAUCGGGCU